rnacentral:rRNA from 1 species
AUUGAACGCUGGCGGCAGGCCUAACACAUGCAAGUCGAGCGGAAACAGGAAGAAGGUUCCUUCUUUGCGGACGAGGGGGGGGCGGGAGAGCAAUGUCUGUGACACUGCGUGAGGGAGGGGGUUAAUUAAGGGAAACGGAAGCGAAAACCGAAUAAAGUCGGAAGACCAAGGAUCUGGAGCUCAGGGCCUCUUGGCAUCGGCUAGGCCCAGAUGGGAUUAGCUAGUAGGUGGGGUAACGGCUAACCUAGGCGACGAUCCCUAGCUGGUCUGAGAGGAUGACCAGCCACACUGGAACUGAGACACGGUCCAGACUCCUACGGGAGGCAGCAGUGGGGAAUAUUGCACAAUGGGCGAAAGCCUGAUGCAGCCAUGCCGCGUGUAUGAAGAAGGCCUUCGGGUUGUAAAGUACUUUAAGCUGGGAGGAAGGGAGUAAAGUUAAUACCUUUGCGUAUUGACGUUACCCGCAGAAGAAGCACCGGCUAACUCCGUG